CCUACGGGAGGCAGCAGUGGGGAAUAUUGGACAAUGGGCGCAAGCCUGAUCCAGCCAUACCGCGUGGGUGAAGAAGGCCUUCGGGUUGUAAAGCCCUUUUGUUGGGAAAGAAAUCCAGCCGGCUAAUACCUGGUUGGGAUGACGGUACCCAAAGAAUAAGCACCGGCUAACUUCGUGCCAGCAGCCGCGGUAAUACGAAGGGUGCAAGCGUUACUCGGAAUUACUGGGCGUAAAGCGUGCGUAGGUGGUUAUUUAAGUCCGUUGUGAAAGCCCUGGGCUCAACCUGGGAACUGCAGUGGAUACUGGAUGACUAGAAUGUGGUAGAGGGUAGCGGAAUUCCUGGUGUAGCAGUGAAAUGCGUAGAGAUCAGGAGGAACAUCCAUGGCGAAGGCAGCUACCUGGACCAACAUUGACACUGAGGCACGAAAGCGUGGGGAGCAAACAGGAUUAGAUACCCUGGUAGUCCACGCCCUAAACGAUGCGAACUGGAUGUUGGGUGCAAUUUGGCACGCAGUAUCGAAGCUAACGCGUUAAGUUCGCCGCCUGGGGAGUACGGUCGCAAGACUGAAACUCAAAUGAAUUGACGGGG
rnacentral:rRNA from 1 species